rnacentral:rRNA from 1 species
CUACGGGCCGCAGCAGUGGGGAAUCUUGCGCAAUGCGCGAAAGCGUGACGCAGCAACACCGCGUGGGGGAAGAAGGCCUUCGGGUUGUAAACCCCUUUCAGUUGGGACGAAGCCCGAGCAGUGAAUAGCUGUCUCGGGUGACGGUACCUUCACAAGAAGCCCCGGCUAACUACGUGCCAGCAGCCGCGGUAAUACGUAGGGGGCAAGCGUUGUCCGGAAUCAUUGGGCGUAAAGCGCGCGUAGGCGGCCCGAUAAGUCCGCUCUGAAAGUCAAGGGCUCAACCCUUGAAUGCGGGUGGAUACUGUCGGGCUAGAGUACGGAAGAGGCAAGUGGAAUUCCUGGUGUAGCGGUGGAAUGCGCAGAUAUCAGGAGGAACACCCAUAGCGAAGGCAGCUUGCUGGGACGUAACUGACGCUAAGGCGCGAAAGCGUGGGGAGCAAACAGGAUUAGAUACCCGGGUAGUC